rnacentral:rRNA from 1 species
ACGAACGCUGGCGGCGUGCUUAACACAUGCAAGUCGAACGGAAAGGCCCUGCUUGCAGGGUACUCGAGUGGCGAACGGGUGAGUAACACGUGGGUGAUCUGCCCUGCACUUCGGGAUAAGCCUGGGAAACUGGGUCUAAUACCGGAUAGGAGCCAUUUUUAGUGUGAUGGGUGGAAAGUUUUUUCGGUGUAGGAUGAGCUCGCGGCCUAUCAGCUUGUUGGUGGGGUAAUGGCCUACCAAGGCGGCGACGGGUAGCCGGCCUGAGAGGGUGGACGGCCACAUUGGGACUGGGAUACGGCCCAGACUCCUACGGGAGGCAGUAGUGGGGAAUAUUGCACAAUGGGCGCAAGCCUGAUGCAGCGACGCCGCGUGGGGGAUGACGGCCUUCGGGUUGUAAACUCCUUUCGCUAGGGACGAAGCUUUUUGUGACGGUACCUAGAUAAGAAGCACCGGCUAACUACGUG